UACGUAGGGUGCGAGCGUUGUCCGGAAUUAUUGGGCGUAAAGAGCUCGUAGGCGGUCUGUUGCGUCCGCUGUGAAAACUCGAGGCUCAACCUCGAGACGCCGGUGGAAACCAUCAGGCUAGAGUCCGGAAGAGGAGAGUGGAAUUCCUGGUGUAGCGGUGAAAUGCGUAGAGAUGCGGAGGAACACCGAUGGCGAAGGCAACCCCCUGGGCUGACACUGACGCUCAGGCACGAAAGCGUGGGGAGCAAACAGG
rnacentral:rRNA from 1 species